rnacentral:rRNA from 1 species
AAUGAACGCUGGCGGCGUGCCUAACACAUGCAAGUCGCGCGAGAAAGUCCCCUUCGGGGGACGAGUAGAGCGGCGCACGGGUGAGUAACGCGUGGGUAACCUACCCUGGAGUGGGGUAUAACUCGCCGAAAGGCGGGCUAAUCCCGCAUACGUCCGGCAGACACAUGUCUGUUGGGGAAAGAUGGCCUCUGCUUGCAAGCUAUUGCUCUUGGAUGGGCCCGCGUUAGAUUAGCUAGUUGGUGAGAUAAAGGCUCACCAAGGCUGCGAUCUAUAACUGGUUUGAGAGGACGACCAGUCACACUGGAACUGAGACACGGUCCAGACUCCGUACGGGAGGCAGCAGUGAGGAAUAUUGCGCAAGUGGGGAAACCCUGACGCAGCGACGCCGCGUGAGUGAUGAAGGCCUUCGGUUGUAAGACUCUGUCAGAGGGAAAGGAAAGGGGAAGUAGUGGCGUAAUAUACCAUGUCCUAUUGUACCGGUACCCUCCGACGAAGGAAGACGACC